rnacentral:rRNA from 1 species
ACGCUUGAAGUCAGGCGCGCCCUCGGAGACUCAGCCUAGCCUCUGCUUGGUUUACUUCGCCUUGGGUGGGUCAACAUCAGUGUCGGUCAGAGGGGAAAGACUUGGGGAAGGUAGCAGCAUUUAUGCUGUGUUAUAGCCUCUUGUUGUAUACUUUGACUGGAACUGAGGACCGCAGCGCGCCUUUACGGCCGGGGCUUGCCCACGUACGCGCUUAGGAUGUUGGCAAAAUGGCUUUAAGCGACCCGUCUUGAAACACGGACCAAGGAGUC